rnacentral:ncRNA from 1 species
AAUUUAGCUUUGAUAAGGAAAGUAACUUAAGAUUAAGUUUUCAGAGAGUCUUUGGUGUGGUGGAAAAAAGAUAAUGAGAUCUUAUGCAAAAAUCACCUUUGAGCUGAAGAGACGAUAUUUAGUCUUUUCAGGGCCCGCCCUAUACAGCGGCGACGUAUCGCUUGUCUAUAUGAUGAGCCGCACGUGCAUGAGAUCAGUAUCAAUUGCUGAUGAAUAAAUAGGUGGUACCGCGUCAAAACGCCCUAUUA